UACGAAGGGGACUAGCGUUGUUCGGAAUCACUGGGCGUAAAGCGCACGUAGGCGGAUGUGUCAGUCAGGGGUGAAAUCCCGGGGCUCAACCUCGGAACUGCUUUUGAUACAGCACGUCUCGAGUCCGGAAGAGGUGGGUGGAAUUCCUAGUGUAGAGGUGAAAUUCGUAGAUAUUAGGAAGAACACCGGUGGCGAAGGCGGCCCACUGGUCCGGUACUGACGCUGAGGUGCGAAAGCGUGGGGAGCAAACAGG
rnacentral:rRNA from 1 species